UCAAAUUUUUUUUUCCUCAAAAAUUUUUUUCUCAAAAAUAUUUUCCUCAAAUUUUUUUUUCCUCAUUUUUUUCGUUUCCUUAUUCGUUUUCUAUUUCCUUUUUCGAUUUUCAUUUCCUUAUUCGGUUUCUAUUUCCUUUUUCGAUUUUCAUUUCCUUAUUCGUUUUCUAUUUCCUUUUUCGAUUUUCAUUUCCUUAUUCGGUUUCUAUUUCCUUUUUUGAUUUUCAUUUCCUUAUUCGGUUUCUUUUUCCUUUUCGAUUUCUAUUUCCUUUUUCGAUUUC
rnacentral:lncRNA from 1 species